rnacentral:rRNA from 1 species
UACGAAGGGGGCUAGCGUUGUUCGGAAUUACUGGGCGUAAAGCGCACGUAGGCGGGUAUUUAAGUUAGGGGUGAAAUCCCAGGGCUCAACCCUGGAACUGCCUUUAAUACUGGGUAUCUCGAGUCCGAGAGAGGUGAGUGGAAUUCCGAGUGUAGAGGUGAAAUUCGUAGAUAUUCGGAGGAACACCAGUGGCGAAGGCGGCUCACUGGCUCGGUACUGACGCUGAGGUGCGAAAGCGUGGGGAGCAAACAGG